rnacentral:misc_RNA from 1 species
GUAAGAGCCACAAAACAAGGGGACCUUAAAAAAUGAAGCUCAUAAUUACCAACAUGAUUUGUACACAAACUAUUACUUUUCCUUGCUAGUAUAAUGACUAUAGUUCAAGUUAAAUAUAAAUUUAUUUCAUCACCAGAAUAUCCCCCAGAAAGUAACAGUAUAUUCAUCAACUAUUGCAGAAGGAAAUUACAAACAAUCUAAUUUGAAAACUUAUUCAAUUGAAAUAGAAUCCAAUGUUUAACGUGCAAUGACAAUGAAGAGAAACCAAUAUUUCAACUACAAACUUCAAAAAAGAAACUCUUCACCGUAAAAACGUCUGCAAAAAAAUAAAUGCAUUACUUGUUUAUGCCACCUUGAACCA